ACUUAAAUUGAAGAGUUUGAUCAUGGCUCAGAUUGAACGCUGGCGGCAGGCCUAACACAUGCAAGUCGAACGGUAACAGGAAGCAGCUUGCUGCUUCGCUGACGAGUGGCGGACGGGUGAGUAAUGUCUGGGAAACUGCCUGAUGGAGGGGGAUAACUACUGGAAACGGUGGCUAAUACCGCAUAACGUCGCAAGACCAAAGAGGGGGACCUUCGGGCCUCUUGCCAUCAGAUGUGCCCAGAUGGGAUUAGCUAGUUGGUGAGGUAACGGCUCACCAAGGCGACGAUCCCUAGCUGGUCUGAGAGGAUGACCAGCCACACUGGAACUGAGACACGGUCCAGACUCCUACGGGAGGCAGCAGUGGGGAAUAUUGCACAAUGGGCGCAAGCCUGAUGCAGCCAUGCCGCGUGUAUGAAGAAGGCCUUCGGGUUGUAAAGUACUUUCAGCGGGGAGGAAGGUGUUGUGGUUAAUAACCACAGCAAUUGACGUUACCCGCAGAAGAAGCACCGGCUAACUCCGUGCCAGCAGCCGCGGUAAUACGGAGGGUGCAAGCGUUAAUCGGAAUUACUGGGCGUAAAGCGCACGCAGGCGGUCUGUCAAGUCGGAUGUGAAAUCCCCGGGCUCAACCUGGGAACUGCAUUCGAAACUGGCAGGCUUGAGUCUUGUAGAGGGGGGUAGAAUUCCAGGUGUAGCGGUGAAAUGCGUAGAGAUCUGGAGGAAUACCGGUGGCGAAGGCGGCCCCCUGGACAAAGACUGACGCUCAGGUGCGAAAGCGUGGGGAGCAAACAGGAUUAGAUACCCUGGUAGUCCACGCCGUAAACGAUGUCUACUUGGAGGUUGUGCCCUUGAGGCGUGGCUUCCGGAGCUAACGCGUUAAGUAGACCGCCUGGGGAGUACGGCCGCAAGGUUAAAACUCAAAUGAAUUGACGGGGGCCCGCACAAGCGGUGGAGCAUGUGGUUUAAUUCGAUGCAACGCGAAGAACCUUACCUGGUCUUGACAUCCACAGAAGAAUCCAGAGAUGGAUUUGUGCCUUCGGGAACUGUGAGACAGGUGCUGCAUGGCUGUCGUCAGCUCGUGUUGUGAAAUGUUGGGUUAAGUCCCGCAACGAGCGCAACCCUUAUCCUUUGUUGCCAGCGGUUAGGCCGGGAACUCAAAGGAGACUGCCAGUGAUAAACUGGAGGAAGGUGGGGAUGACGUCAAGUCAUCAUGGCCCUUACGACCAGGGCUACACACGUGCUACAAUGGCGCAUACAAAGAGAAGCGACCUCGCGAGAGCAAGCGGACCUCAUAAAGUGCGUCGUAGUCCGGAUUGGAGUCUGCAACUCGACUCCAUGAAGUCGGAAUCGCUAGUAAUCGUGGAUCAGAAUGCCACGGUGAAUACGUUCCCGGGCCUUGUACACACCGCCCGUCACACCAUGGGAGUGGGUUGCAAAAGAAGUAGGUAGCUUAACCUUCGGGAGGGCGCUUACCACUUUGUGAUUCAUGACUGGGGUGAAGUCGUAACAAGGUAACCGUAGGGGAACCUGCGGUUGGAUCACCUCCUUACCUUAAAGAAGC
rnacentral:rRNA from 2 species